UACAGAGGUCUCAACCGUUGUUCGGAUUCAUUGGGCGUAAAGGGUGCGUAGGCGGCUUGGCAAGUGGAAGGUGAAAUCCCUCGGCUUAACCGAGGAACUGCCCUCCAAACUGCUUUGCUUGAGGCCGGGAGAGGCGAGUGGAAUUCCCAGUGUAGCGGUGAAAUGCGUAGAUAUUGGGAGGAACACCAGUGGCGAAGGCGGCUCGCUGGACCGGUUCUGACGCUGAGGCGCGAAAGCGUGGGGAGCAAACGGG
rnacentral:rRNA from 1 species